rnacentral:snRNA from 1 species
ACAAGUACCGCGAGGUAA